rnacentral:misc_RNA from 1 species
AACUGAUACUACCUGCGGGAACCUGCGGAAGGAUCAUUAUUGAAUAAAUUUGAACAGGCUGUUUGCUGACUCCCUUGGGAGUAUGUGCACGCUUGUCAUCUUAUUUCUCCAACUGUGCACAUAUUGUAGACCUGAAGCUUUUUUGACCUAUGUUGUGUAGAUUGAGGACUGUUGUGCUUUUUUCAUGUCAGCUUUACCUUGCAUUAUCAGGUCUAUGUUAUUUUCACAACCUCUGAAUCA